rnacentral:rRNA from 1 species
AACCUACAAUUUCUUU